rfam:Sorghum bicolor cultivar BTx623 chromosome 2, whole genome shotgun sequence.
GUAUUCAGAUUCGCAUCAAUCCAUAUGUGUUGGAGUGGGUUAGAGUGGAACUUGAACUAAAUUCCACCCAAAUCCACUCCAACACAUGUAGAUUGAGGUCAAUCCGACA